UGAUAAAUUACUGGGUAGAGAACAUUUC
rnacentral:sRNA from 1 species